GUUACUAAAAGAAAUGUAUAUUCUAGAAAGUAUAUAUGUCACUUAAUUAUAGACCUACUCAAAUUUGGUUAUAUAAUCUCUCUUUUAAAGUAUAAAUAAAGUGGAAAAGAAAUAAUAAGAUAACCGAGAAUAAACAAAGCUUUUCCUAUUGUCAAAUUGCAUAUAAAAAGGCCGAGCGACAAUAAUUGAUAUACAUUACCUAACAAGCAACAAUGAAUCCGCAAUCAUCUUCUGUCUACUAUUGGUAGCACUGUGUUCCCCCGCGGAACAGUGCGGUAAAAACGAGGUUUUCAACUUGUGUGGUUCUGCAUGCCACCCAAAUGAGCGCAGCUGCAUACUGCC